rnacentral:rRNA from 1 species
UGUAAAUGUAAAAUUUUAACUGGGGUAGUAAUAGUUAUGUUCUUGAAACCCAAAGAAUUUGGCGGUAUUUUAGUCCUUUCAGAGGAAUCUGUCCCGUAAUCGACAGCCCACGAGAUAAUGUACUUAUUCUUGUAUUCAGUUUGUAUACCUCCGUCAUAAGAAGAUCUUUUUAGAGAUAAAAUUUUCUUAAUAUAUUAAGUAUAAAAUGUCAGGUCAAGGUGCAAUUUAUGGAUAAGUGGAGAUGGAUUACAAUAAAUUUAUUUAAAUGGAUUGAAUUAUUUAAUUUUUUUUAUGAAGGUGGAUUUGAUAGUAAUUUUAAUUAUUUAUUAUUAUGAUUUUGGCUCUAAAAUAUGC